AGCCAAAGAAUAAGGUGGGGCGGGUUCCUUCAGCUUCUCUCUGCUUCGCCUUUUUCUUUGGAUCAUUGUUGCAUCUCACAUUUGAGGUAUGGAAAGUGACAUUAUAAAACCUAAGGUUUACCAAUUUGUGGUGAGAGCCCUGCCAGAUCAGGUCUGCGCGUAAGGGUGUCAGUGGUUCUGUAAAUAAAACAGAAUAUGCAUGAAGGACAUCUCCACCAGUGGAGGAGAUCUCCAGUGCACCAGUGCAGGACACCCAUCUCAACGUUAAGCACAGUUUUUGCCACGGUGCCCCAGCAGCAGGGAUGAAGAUGAUGAUGAUGCAGUGCCUCAUUGGCAAAGCAAAAAUCAAGUCAGUGCAACAGGGUCUGCUACUGAUGGCAAGAAUAGAUAAAGAAUAUUUUAUAUUUGAAAUGAUAACAUAUUCAUACUUAUUGUACUGGUUUUGCCUCAAAUAAUGCUCCGUUAAUCGGGGUCGGGGAGGUCUCUAAAAGAAUACUCAUAACUUAAAAAAAUCACUUUGCCCUGCAUAUUUUUCUUAUGUCUAAGACCAUAUGGAUGUAUUCUGAA